rnacentral:misc_RNA from 1 species
GAGCGUCAUUACAACCCUCAAGCAUUGCUUGGUGUUGGGCUUCGCCGCCGACCCGGCGGGCCCUAAAACCAGUGGCGGUGCCGUUGAGGCCCUGAGCGCAGUAAAUAUCCUCGCUACAGGGACUCGGCGGACGCUGGCCAUCAAACCCCCCACCUUCUAAGUUUGACCUCGGAUCAGGUAGGGAUACCCGCUGAACUUAA